rnacentral:misc_RNA from 1 species
GAUGAAGAACGUAGCGAAAUGCGAUAAGUAAUGUGAAUUGCAGAAUUCAGUGAAUCAUCGAAUCUUUGAACGCGCAUUGCGCCCCUUGGUAUUCCGAGGGGCAUGCCUGUUCGAGCGUCAUAUUAACCACUCCCGCUUGCGGGGUCUUGGGCUUCGCCUCCGGGCGGGCCUUAAAAUCAGUGGCGGUGCCGUCGGGCUCUACGCGUAGUAAAUUUUCUCGCGAUAGGGUCCCGGUGGAUGCUUGCCAACAACCCCCAACUUCUUAAGGUUGACCUCGGAUCAGGUAGGGAUACCCGCUGAACUUAAGCAUAUCAAUAAGCGGAGGA